GGAAGUAAAAGUCGUAACAAGGUCUCCGUUGGUGAACCAGCGGAGGGAUCAUUAACGAGUUCCAUUCUCCUUAAUACACCCGUGAACGUUUCUUCAACUGUUCGUUGCUUCGGCGGGCGGCCCCGGGGAGGGGCCGCAGCCCGCAAGGGCGCCCGCCGGCGGCAGCGCAGCACAACUCUUGCGAUUUAGGCCCCUCUGAGAAGACACUAAAUGAGUCAAAACUUUCAACAACGGAUCUCUUGGUUCUGGCAUCGAUGAAGAACGCAGCGAAAUGCGAUAAGUAAUGUGAAUUGCAGAACUCAGCGAAUCAUCGAAUCUUUGAACGCACACUGCGCCCGCCGGCAUUCCGGCGGGCAUGCCUGUUCGAGCGUCAUUUCAACCCUCGAGCCCUGCUCGGUGUUGGGGCCCCGCGGCCGCCGCGGGCCCUGAAAAGAAGUGGCGGGCGCGCCUGGACCCGUAGCGCAGUAAUACACCUCGCUCGCGGCGUCCCGGCGCGUGCCGGCCGUAAAACCCCUUUAUCUCAAGGUGA
rnacentral:rRNA from 1 species